rnacentral:rRNA from 1 species
CCUACGGGAGGCAGCAGUAGGGAAUCUUCCACAAUGGGCGAAAGCCUGAUGGAGCAACGCCGCGUGGGUGAAGAAGGUCUUCGGAUCGUAAAACCCUGUUGUUAGAGAAGAAAGUGCGUGAGAGUAACUGUUCACGUUUCGACGGUAUCUAACCAGAAAGCCACGGCUAACUACGUGCCAGCAGCCGCGGUAAUACGUAGGUGGCAAGCGUUAUCCGGAUUUAUGGGGCGUAAAGGGAACGCAGGCGGUCUUUUAAGUCUGAUGUGAAAGCCUUCGGCUUAACCGGAGUAGUGCAUUGGAAACUGGGAGACUUGAGUGCAGAGGAGGAGAGUGGAACUCCAUGUGUGGCGGUGAAAUGCGUAGAUAUAUGGAAGAACACCAGUGGCGAAAGCGGCUCUCUGGUCUGUAACUGACGCUGAGGUUCGAAAGCGUAGGUAGCAAACAGGAUUAGAUACCCGGGUAGUC